rnacentral:tRNA from 1 species
GCCAGUGUGGUGUAGUGGUUUGAGUGUUGGACUAUGACUCUGGAGACCAAGGUUCAGUUCCCUGCUCAGCCA